UCUGCAUUCCCCAGGUCACAAGAAUAAGGACACACUUAAGCACAGACUGCUGCUUCUCUGUUGUAGGGCAACAGGAUUGCAGUGGGAAUGUGGAUUGCCAGGCCCUGUUCUCUGCCCUCACAGUGCCUCCAUUUACUACACAGACCUCAGAUGGCAAGAGCUGACAGAAGAGCUUGUGCAGAGAGAGCACUAUCUCAUGG
rnacentral:lncRNA from 12 species